UUUCUUAAAUUCUGAAAGAAUACAAAAAUGAAAAAUAAGCAAAGCAGGUAACAGAAAGAAGCACAGUAAAUGCAACAUAAUACUUAUAGUAAGUAA
rnacentral:snoRNA from 1 species